GGCCCUAUGACCUGUGGCAGGAUGGGAAGGUGGGAGGAGAAGAGGGACCAGCAGCUGCGAGCAGGCCUGGCAGGGCAGAGGUAGAAGCCAGAAGGAACCAGAAGGAAGAAGCCAUCAACCAGGCAGAACUCAGCAUGCAGAGGAACUACAGAGGAUGGUGAGAUUUAAAGCACAAGCAAAACAAAACAACUCACAAAGUUCUUUUUGUGUGUGCGUGUCUUUUGUUUAGGGCCGCACUGCGGCGCAUGGAGGUUCCCAAGCUAGGGGUCUAAUCAGAGCUAUAGCAGCUGGCCUACGCCAGAGCCACAGCAACGCCAGAUCUGAGCCAUGUCUGCGACCUACACCACAGCUCAUGGCAAUGCCGGAUCCUUAACCCAGUGAGUGAGGCCAGGGAUCGAACCCACACCUCAUGGUUCCUAGUUGAUUUGUUUCUGCUGAGCCAGGAUGGGAACUCCACAAAGUUCUUAAAAUAACAUUAAAAAAUAAAUAGAAAUCAACCUUAAAAUAUGUCAUGCUUUGAAACUGACAGUUGUUUAUAAUUUUUUUGGUAAAGAGGAAAACUCAUUUACAAAUUAUGGGAGUUGCUGGAAAUACCACCUCAGGUUCUAAGGAGGAGUUGUUUAUGAAUUUAGGGGGAAGAGUGAGAUUUUCUUAGAAGACAAUUUUUUUGAUUGGAAAGGAUUUUUACACUGCUAUGUGACUAUAGUGUGACCACAGUGUUACUUUUUCUGGUUUUGCUCUGGGGAAGGAAAAGAAAGGCACCCCUCCAAGGAGGGGAAGAAAAGUGAUGCUGUGUUUUUCUCGCUCUAUUCACAGUUCUUCCUCAGUUUAAUGAAUGGCAACAUGACUGAAAUAACAGACAGCAGCUAUGGAAUGAAGGCUCUGAGAACAACUAUGUUACUCCAGGGCAGAGCUAAGCUUCAGAUAAGUCGAGAAACUUCAAUGGCAAAUCAAAUAAGGGCUUUGUCUAAAGAAAGGUCCUCCUCCACACAAAAGGCCACACGGAGAAACCGUCCUCCACAAAGUGAGCUGGCCAUCACCUCUGCUCCCCCUUUUCCACCUGCUAGAUGCUGGGCAGCCAUUCGGGUUUACAUCUACCACCUGCUGACCCAUCCAACACAGGUUCUUCUCGACGUGAGAAAAAUCUCUGUCUCAAACAGCAGCGACUUCAGAGUUCUUUUGUGGCACAACGGGUUAAGGAUCUGGUGUUGUCUCUGCAGCAGCUUGGGUCACUGCUGUGGUGUGGGUUUUAUCCCUGGCUCAGGAAUUUCCACAUGCCGUGGGCAUGGCCAAAAAAAAAAAAAAAAAAACUUAUGUAUAUUCUUGUUUUAAAAGUUAGGGCAGAGCCUGGCAUGAUUUUUCACAUACUCAGUCUAACCAAUGAACAUUCAAGUAUCUUGUAGUUAUGUUAAAAACCAUCAUCAUUAAUUCACAAGUAUUUACCUUGAUUGAUAAGAGAUAGGUAGUUCUUAGAAGAACUGUAUGUGUUCAAGCAGUUAAUUUUUUAAAGUAAACUUAGAAUUUCUUUAAGUGUAACUUCAAGCUGGUGUCACUUAUUUUAAAAGUAAUACAUAAAAGCAUUUCUGAUCAUUAUAUGCAUCUGUGAGCAUAUAUUUAUACAAAUAUUUUCGUGUAUUUUGGAGAAUUUAGUCAAGAGUCUAAAUGAUUCAAGCAGUAAAAGAGUAGUUGAAAAAAGACCAUGAAGACAAAGCAGAAACAGAAGUACCAAUGAGGUAACUAACAACCUAUAACCAAGGUACCAGAACAUGAUGGGAAAUGUGUCAGCUUUCUCUAAACUUUUAUAUCAGUCUUAUGCUACACAC
rnacentral:lncRNA from 1 species